UCCUACGGGAGGCAGCAGUGGGGAAUAUUGUGCAAUGGGGGAAACCCUGACGCAGCAAUACCGCGUGAAUGAAGAAGGUCUUCGGAUCGUAAAGUUCUGUUAUUGGGGAAGAAAAAGACGGUACCCAAGGAGAAAGUUCCGGCUAACUACGUGCCAGCAGCCGCGGUAAUA
rnacentral:rRNA from 1 species